UUUAAAGUCUGACCUGCCCAAUGAGGAGUUAAAUGGCCGCGGUAAUUUGACCGUGCAAAGGUAGCAUAAUCAUUAGUUUUUUAAUUGAAAGCUGGUAUGAAUGGUUGGACGAGAGAACGACUGUCUCGGUUUAAUUUUAUUAGAACUUUAUUUUUAAGUAAAAAAGCUUAAAUGUAUUUAAAAGACGAGAAGACCCUAUAGAGUUUUAUAUAUUGUAAUAUAUGAAAAUUUUAGUAUAUAGAUAUGAGUAUAUUAAGGUGUAUUUUGUUGGGGCGACAGAAAAAUUGAUUUAACUUUUUUUUAAAUGAUUUCAUUAAUGUAUGAAUAAUUGAUCCGUUAUUAACGAUUAUAAGAUUAAAUUACCUUAGGGAUAACAGCGUAAUUUUCUUUAAGAGUUCUAAUCGAAAGGAGAGUUUGCGACCUCGAUGUUGGAUUAAAAUUAAUUUCUGGUGUAGGGGCUAGAAUAUUAGGUCUGUUCGACCUUUAAAAUUUUACAUGAUCUGAGUUUAAACCGGUGUGAGCCAGGUUGGUUUCUAUCUUUAAAUAUAUAAAGAUAUUUUAGUACGAAAGGACCAAGUAUUUGUAAUAUUUACUUUAAAUUGAAUAUUAGUAAUA
rnacentral:rRNA from 1 species